UUUUUUCUGGGUGCCAGAUGGGUUCCAUAUGGUGUGAAAAUAAUGCUGCAAAUAAAAUCUGGGUUUUUACUGGGAUUGGCAUGGAGCUUCUGUAAAUGGUUUACAGCUGGUUUGAAGAUGGGACGCGUGUUUGAAUAAUCAUGAAUGUUUAAAUAAUCAUGAAUGUUUUUUAUUUUUCACUUGCUAUAAGUUGGUUUGUGUUUAACAACAGAAAAUAUAUUACUUCAUCAAAUGUUAGUUUUUUACACAUAAAAGUUAUGUAAAAUCUCCUACGAAAUGGUUCUUAAUAUAAUUCCCUGCAGGAUUCCUGUCACAAAUAAAAACUGAAGAAACUUUAAAACUAGAUGAUGGCAUCUAAAGAAGUUGAAAUACCAUUAUUCAUGGUGUCAUAUCGAGGCUUCAGUUCUCUGUGUUUGUUAGUUAUAUGCAAGAUAUGGCAUGGUAUGGCAUGCUGCAUGAAAUUAGUGUUAAAAUGGAUGAAAUCACUAAAGAAGCAAAACGAUAAACUUUAAAGCAGAAUUUUGUCAUGCAAUUAUGUUAGUGAUAUGAGAGAACUACUGUGCGAUUAUGGUGGCGAUAUGAGAGAACUACGGUGAUAGAAUAUUACUAUCGUAGAAUAGUUUUGCAUCAAAUCAUUGUAUAAUAUUAGUUUUUUGUUAUAUUAUGAAUAUGAUAUUAUGAAUGAA